AGCCGCUGGAAGCGGGAAGCCCCGAACCCGUCUUACUUUCACCUUGCUGGGCUCUUAGUCCAGCCCCAUAAUCCCGCCUUGCCCGCUUAAGGACCUCGUCAGAACAAAAGGACCUUCUGCCUUUUUCCAGCUAAAGUAAACCAGUCUCGGGGACCUUUAGCCGCGCACUUUAUCCCAGACUGCCCAGAUGUGCACAAAAUCUCAUCGGAGAAGGUCCCACGUCCCUGCUCAUUCCCCCAGCUCAGAUGCUCUCCGAGAGCGGGUUUCUCCGGGGGGCUUGCAGAGGCAGCAGCCUUCGUUUCUGUGCAGAGUGAUCACCCCGAAUGCAACCAGAGAGUAAAGUCCAAGUCCUUUGUCGUCUCAUUCAAAGUCUGUCUCCUUCACUUGGGGCUCCGCUAGUUUUCUGGAGGUCCUCCACUCCUCAGUCCUCCUUAGUUCUGCCCGACUGGCUUCUGAAUCUCCUCGACUGAAUCUGCCUGAGGCUCCGAGCUUCUACCGGGCUUCUGGCUCUGGCCCCGAGAGCUUCUUGCUUAUAUGCUGUACACUGAGUACACACCAAUCCUUAUAUCACCGGGAAACCAUUAUUUGUUGUAGGAUUAAAUCAGUUCCAAGCUAGAUUUAAACAUUGUCUCCUCAAUUCCACUUAAUACUUUGUUUCAAGUUCUGGCCCGUAACAUCUCCUUGUAGGAUCAGAUCAAUCACACUGAACCAUGAGAAAUUAGACAACUUUUGUCUCUGUCAAUCCCGCUCUUUGUACCUUGUAAGAAUCCUAACAUUGUGAAACAUGAUCUAUUAUGUCCCCGACAUUGUCAGAUCUACUAAUCCUGUCACUGUAUGGUCUUAGUUUUAGAGUAGAGCUACCUUCUCCCUACUUCCUUUGGUAAAGGUUUCUCUGAAAAUUCACCAGGAAUCAAUGGCAGGUUUGGGCUGUUAGAAGAUGUGGGAAAGAUGUUCCCCUUGCCAGACUUCCUCCCUCCUCCCAACAGCCGUUUCCAUGACUUCAUCCCCAUCUCCCCAGACUAAGGAAGUCAUUUGAACAAAAAAUAAGUUUCUAUACUUAAUCGCCUCUUACUUUAAAAAAAAAAAAAAUGAGUUCAAUUCAGCAAAUAUUUUUAAGCACCUACUAUGUGCUGUGCUGGGAAGAGAGAUGCUGUUCAGCUGAGGCACGAGCAAUCUCCAUUUCUGCAUAGAUAAUGAUUGGAAGAAAAUACAUCUACAAAACGUUUACUCUGUUCCAAGAGUGGGGAAGCAUACAAGCAGCAAGACAAUUGCUCCUGAGGAGUUUGCAUUUUUCCAGGGUGCAUGAGAGGACACGGAGAAGGAGGAUGCACAGUUAAGUGCACAGGGAAGCAAAUGCAAGGUGUGUUUUUUUCAGGAGAGAGAGCAGAUGCUCACUAGAUCGACGACCCCAGCAGGUCAUUUCACUUCAGUCUCAGUUUCUUCAUCUGUAAAAUGCGG
rnacentral:lncRNA from 1 species